rnacentral:lncRNA from 1 species
AAGAUUUCUUGGGCUGUACCUCCCAUGGUAUUCCGGAAAGCCCAUUCCUAAUUCCCAACUGAUAUCUUUCCGAAAUACAAUCGGAGGUGCAGAUACAAUAGUGGGAGUGCAGAAGAAAAUAGCCCUGCUCUAGGUAUUCGGUAAGCCUAUGACUCGCCAACAGGCCCAACGCAACGGGAACUUGGGAGUUGGGAGUUUUUGAGUAGGGAGC